CCUACGGGGGGCUGCAGUGGGGAAUAUUGGACAAUGGGCGAAAGCCUGAUCCAGCCAUGCCGCGUGUGUGAAGAAGGCCUUCGGGUUGUAAAGCACUUUCAGUGGGGAAGAAAGCCUUGGGGCUAAUACCCUCGAGGAAGGACAUCACCCACAGAAGAAGCACCGGCUAACUCCGUGCCAGCAGCCGCGGGAAUACGGAGGGUGCGAGCGUUAAUCGGAAUUACUGGGCGUAAAGCGCGCGUAGGCGGUCUGAUAAGCCGGUUGUGAAAGCCCCGGGCUCAACCUGGGAACGGCAUCCGGAACUGUCAGGCUAGAGUGCAGGAGAGGAAGGUAGAAUUCCCGGUGUAGCGGUGAAAUGCGUAGAGAUCGGGAGGAAUACCAGUGGCGAAGGCGGCCUUCUGGACUGACACUGACGCUGAGGUGCGAAAGCGUGGGUAGCAAACAGGAUUAGAUACCCUUGUAGUC
rnacentral:rRNA from 1 species